AAAUCCUCAGCGAGGAGGAGCGCGCCACCGAGAAUGUCUACAUCCAGAAAAGAUUGUUCAAUUCAUGACAAUUGCAGAUAUUGGCGGCUGCUCCUUUUCUUUUAAUAAUUUGUUCAACAUUGAUAAUGGAUCCAUCUCACUUAAACGGAUAAGAUCACUUAACCGAUAAGAUCAAGCUUCACAUAUUUGUAUUAUUUUUUUUUUAAACCAUAGAGCUGCACCCUAUAUAAGUGUAAGUUGCUCUGUUACUAAUUUACUAUUAGCAGUAGAAACAAACAAACGAACAAACUAGAAAGCAAAAAGCGGUGGCGGCAAUGAGAUCCGGUCAAAGCCUGGCGGUGCUAACUCGAGCGUUGAUCACUCGCUCCAUGGAGUCGUCUCGGGGAGCCACUCGCUACUUGAGCGCAGGCACAGGCAAAGUCCUCAGCGAGGAGGAGCGUGCCGCCGAGAAUGUCUACAUCCAGAGAAAGGAGAGGGAGAGAUUGGCGAAGCAGAAGGCUGAGAAGGAAAAGGCCGAGAAAGCGAAAGAAAAUGCUGAUAAGAAGGCUGAUGGGACACAUUAAAAGCUGAAAUGGUGAUGGGCACUUUGGCAGUACCUGAAAAACUUUUCCUUUGGAAGUAAUCAUGAAUAAUAACAGUGUAUAUAACUUUUGUGAGAAUCACUCUGCGUUGAGUAUCGGUGUUCUUCGUGGCAUCUUUUCUUAAACAUUAAUGGGAUAACUUGGAUCUUUUUAUGAUCUUCCUGUCUUUUAUGUGAUUGUUUUUACUCAGUUCCGUUAGUCUGUUGAGAGUGUCAUUUUCUGCUCGUAUCGUGUUUGUGGCAUACUUUGGUUCAUAAAUUUCCACAUUUAUGAUGAAACUUAUAUAUGUUAUGCUGCGGGUAACGGAAAUAGGAUCUCAUUCAAAAUUCAGCUUGCAUCGCAUACUGUUUCUUAGUGAUUUGUUUGUUUGCUUUUGAUUGAUUUGCUUAUUUUCUGCUGGAAUGAAUAUUGACGAAUUGCCUAAUUGUUUCGUAUGUAAUAAAACGUUUUAAGCCUGCUAAGUUUUGGAUAGUUUUGACUAAACAUAGUUGAUCCUUAUGAAUUUCAUGUAUUA
rnacentral:sRNA from 1 species